rnacentral:rRNA from 1 species
AGUGAACGCUGGCGGUAGGCCUAACACAUGCAAGUCGAACGGCAGCACAGUAAGAGCUUGCUCUUACGGGUGGCGAGUGGCGGACGGGUGAGGAAUACAUCGGAAUCUACUUUUUCGUGGGGGAUAACGUAGGGAAACUUACGCUAAUACCGCAUACGACCUACGGGUGAAAGCAGGGGAUCUUCGGACCUUGCGCGAUUGAAUGAGCCGAUGUCGGAUUAGCUAGUUGGCGGGGUAAAGGCCCACCAAGGCGACGAUCCGUAGCUGGCCUGAGAGGAUGGGCGGCCACACUGGAACUGCGACACGGUCCAGACUCCUACGGGAGGCAGCAGUGGGGAAUCUUGCGCAAUGGGCGCAAGCCUGACGGAGCAAGGCCGCGUGAGUGAAGAAGGCUUUCGGGUUGUAAAGCACUGUUAGCAGGGAAGAAGAAAAGAGUCCGAAUCCAUGCGCGCCUUGACGUUACCUAAUGAGAAAGCCACGGCUAACUACGUG